GAACACAUUAUCAUGAUCAUUCUUGCUACUCCUGCGUUCGUCACUGCAAUUCUUGUAGCGUCUAAUCGGCAAUUGAAAUACUUAUUAAAACCUGUACAGCUGGAAAGACUCUUUCCAUGACUAGGUGCGUUUUUUUUUUACUGCAAUCAAAAGAGCCACAGAAUUUUAAUGUCAUGGACGAAUUCAGAAUCAUAAUAAGUACGUUAUCUCCAUAUUAUGUUCAGAAACAUUUGUAUAUUUGGUAGUAUGUGGGUAGAUCAUGAAGUUGAGUUUUAGGCGCAUAAGCUUGUUGUAAAUGAAUGACAGAAAGUAGUUUUGUAAUGUGAAGCUCACACGACUCUGGGUGUCACUCCUGGACCUUCCCGUUGUUUUUUUGUGUUACACUAAUGUUCAAAACAUAGGUGGCAGAUUCAGAGACGCGUUUGAACCUUCUUGCUGUACCUUUUCCUUUCCCAACCAUAAACACUCUAAAGUAGACCUCAGUCACUUAAGGAUAAAGCCUCUCACAAAUAAAAAGGAAUAAAACUAAUGGCAGAGUCGAUUAAAUAAUAAUAAUAUAAAAAGUUUCUAGAGAUGGAAACGAAAGUUCCAGGCUCUUUUGAGAAGUGACGGGUGCUCACAGCUUAAAGCUCCGUGUAGGGAAAGUUUUCUGUAAGGUACGGGCAAAAGAGUCUAUUGUCUCGUUAGGGAUCAAUAGUAACAAUUGGUAAGUUGUGUUCGAGAUCAUCGUGGUCUUUUCAUUUCCAAUUGCUGAUUUAUUGAAACUCUUUUUCUCCCUUAGUUGUCAUUUCCUUGCUGCAUGCAUGCUUACAGCCAUCUCGAUUCUUACUUGUAAGCCAGGAAUUUAUUG
rnacentral:lncRNA from 1 species